rnacentral:rRNA from 1 species
GACGAACGCUGGCGGCGUGCCUAACACAUGCAAGUCGAACGGGACUCAGCCCUUCGGGACUGAGUUUAGUGGCGAACGGGUGAGUAACGCGUGAGGAACCUGCCUUUCAGUGGGGGACAACAGUUGGAAACGACUGCUAAUACCGCAUAAUACUUUCGAGCGGCAUCGUUUGAAAGUCAAAGAUUUAUUGCUGAAAGAUGGCCUCGCGUCUGAUUAGCUGGUUGGUGAGGUAACGGCCCACCAAGGCGACGAUCAGUGGCCGACCUGAGAGGGUGACCGGCCACAUUGGGACUGAGACACGGCCCAGACUCCUACGGGAGGCAGCAGUGGGGAAUAUUGCACAAUGGAGGAAACUCUGAUGCAGCGACGCCGCGUGAGCGAUGAAGUAUUUCGGUAUGUAAAGCUCUAUCAGCAGGGAAGAUAAUGACGGUACCUGACUAAGAAGCUCCGGCUAAAUACGUG